rnacentral:rRNA from 1 species
UAAACUCCUGUUGUUGAGGAAGAUAAUGACGGUACUCAACAAGGAAGUGACGGCUAACUACGUGCCAGCAGCCGCGGUAAAACGUAGGUCACAAGCGUUGUCCGGAAUUACUGGGUGUAAAGGGAGCGCAGGCGGGAGAACAAGUUGGAAGUGAAAUCCAUGGGCUCAACCCAUGAACUGCUUUCAAAACUGUUUUUCUUGAGUAGUGCAGAGGUAGGCGGAAUUCCCGGUGUAGCGGUGGAAUGCGUAGAUAUCGGGAGGAACACCAGUGGCGAAGGCGGCCUACUGGGCACCAACUGACGCUGAGGCUCGAAAGUGUGGGUAGCAAACAGGAUUAGAUACCCUGGUAGUCCACACCGUAAACGAUGAUUACUAGGUGUUGGAGGAUUGACCCCUUCAGUGCCGCAGUUAACACAAUAAGUAAUCCACCUGGGGAGUACGACCGCAAGGUUGAAACUCAAAGGAAUUGACGGGGGCCCGCACAAGCAGUGGAGUAUGUGGUUUAAUUCGACGCAACGCGAAGAACCUUACCAAGUCUUGACAUCCCUUGACGAUGCUGGAAACAGUAUUUCUCUUCGGAGCAAGGAGACAGGUGGUGCAUGGUUGUCGUCAGCUCGUGUCGUGAGAUGUUGGGUUAAGUCCCGCAACGAGCGCAACCCUUAUGGUCAGUUACUACGCAAGAGGACUCUGGCCAGACUGCCGUUGACAAA